GUCCACGCCCUAACGAUGUCUACUAGUUGUCGGGACUUAAUUGUCUUGGUAACGCAGCUAACGCGUGAAGUAGACCGCCUGGGGAGUACGGUCGCAAGAUUAAACUCAAAGGAAUUGACGGGACCCGCACAAGCGGUGGAUGAUGUGGAUUAAUUCGAUGCAACGCGAAAACCUUACCUACCCUUGACAUGGUUGGAAUCCCGAAGAGAUUUGGGAGUGCUCGCAAGAGAACCAAUACACAGGUGCUGCAUGGCUGUCGU
rnacentral:rRNA from 1 species